rnacentral:rRNA from 1 species
UACGUAGGGUGCAAGGCGUUGCCCCGGGAUUUAUUUGGGCGUAAAGGGCGCGUAGGCGGCUCUGCACGUCCGUUGUGAAAUCGCCCGGCUCAACUGGGCGGGGUCAGCGGAUACGGCGGAGCUUGAGCAAGCUAGGGGGCAAUGGAAUUCCCGGUGUAGUGGUGGAAUGCGUAGAUAUCGGGAGGAACACCAGUGGCGAAGGCGGUUGCCUGGAGCUUUGCUGACGCUGAUGCGCGAAAGCGUGGGGAGCGAGUCCGG